rnacentral:rRNA from 1 species
CGGGACGGGUGAGGAAUACAUCGGAAUCUACUCUGUCGUGGGGGAUAACGUAGGGAAACUUACGCUAAUACCGCAUACGACCUACGGGUGAAAGCAGGGGANUCUUCGGACCUUGCGCGAUUGAAUGAGCCGAUGUCGGAUUAGCUAGUUGGCGGGGUAAAGGCCCACCAAGGCGACGAUCCGUAGCUGGUCUGAGAGGAUGAUCAGCCACACUGGAACUGAGACACGGUCCAGACUCCUACGGGAGGCAGCAGCC